rnacentral:lncRNA from 1 species
UCAUAGAUCUGGUGUCGCAAAGUACAAAAUUUGUUGCAGUGAUUAAUGGGGUUUUAGGGUUUGAUUGAAUGGAUUGGGUGAAUGUUUUGAAGAAAUGGGUUUACGGAAGGAUGAAAUUGGAAGAAGAUUUGUAUGGAAGUGGAAAAGAAGAUUACGAAGAAACUAUGAUAUUUGUUGUUGUAGUGGUUCUUGAUGGUUAGAGAGAGAAAGAGAGA